UUGAACGCUGGCGGCAUGCCUUACACAUGCAAGUCGAACGGCAGCACGGGUGCUUGCACCUGGUGGCGAGUGGCGAACGGGUGAGUAAUAUAUCGGAACGUACCUUAUCGUGGGGGAUAACGCAGCGAAAGUUACGCUAAUACCGCAUACGAUCUACGGAUGAAAGCGGGGGAUCGCAAGACCUCGCGCGAUUGGAGCGGCCGAUAUCAGAUUAGGUAGUUGGUGGGGUAAAGGCUCACCAAGCCAACGAUCUGUAGCUGGUCUGAGAGGACGACCAGCCACACUGGAACUGAGACACGGUCCAGACUCCUACGGGAGGCAGCAGUGGGGAAUUUUGGACAAUGGACGCAAGUCUGAUCCAGCCAUUCCGCGUGCAGGAUGAAGGCCCUCGGGUUGUAAACUGCUUUUGUACGGAACGAAAAGGUUUCUAUUAAUACUAGGAGCUCAUGACGGUACCGUAAGAAUAAGCACCGGCUAACUACGUG
rnacentral:rRNA from 1 species